GGGAAUACAGUGGUUUUGGGUGAUCCCAGAGGAAGCCCCAACCUAGCCAAGAAGCUCCCUUGGAGGAAUGCCUUAGCCUGAGCUAAGUCUUGAAGAGCCAGGAGAGCCAUCCCUACGGAGCAAUGGGGAGAGGUGUGGACUGCAAGUGAUGAGAAAGAAUGAUUGUUUCAGACAAGGAACAGCACGAGCAAAGGCGCAGAGUGCUCUUCCCAAAGCAAGGAAAGGAGAAGGCAAUGCUGAACCUAAUGGAGAGAUUCCAGGCACUGUGGAGUGAGCAGCUCUACAGCCAGAGAGCUAACAUCCCAGGACAAUCAUGCGGCCUGAAAUCUAAGGAAAUACUGGCACCUCCAAGGAGAGAUGGGACACAGACACUGGCCUGCCUGUGGCAGAAUGUGGCAGAUGCAAGUGCCACACAAGCACUUAAGAAGAAAUCAGGUGAUAAGUUGCAAAAGGGCAGAGAGGCCAAGUCUCUUUCCACAGCUGUAUAUCUAGUGCCUACCACAGAGCCUGGCACAUGCCCAGGAGGAAAAGACCACAAAGAGAGAAGAUGCCAAGCCAUACCAGCUGUGUACCUGAGCCCAGCCUGCAGCUACCCUGCCAGCUAAAUGCAGCUGUAUAAGUGAGCCUUGGUGGAGCCAGUGGAAUCACUUCGUCGACUCAAUUGUCCUUGAUUUCCUCAGCCAUGAGACAACAAACCUCGGGUAUCACCCCCAACAAUGAGGCCACUUCAUUGUGGGGCCCAUCUGGGAUCCAAGGUAGAUUCAUCAGAAGG
rnacentral:lncRNA from 1 species